ensembl:lncRNA
AUGAUAUCUAGAGCAAAUAAACAAAGUUCUACUGUACAGAGCAGAGAACCAUACGAAAUACCCUGUGAUGAGCUACAGUGGAAAAGAAGAUGAGGAAGAAGCAUCUUAUUCUUGAUCCAGGAAGAUCCCACAUGAAGCAGAGCAACAAAGCCUGUGUGCCCCAACUACUGAGCCUGUGCUCUAGAGUCGGGGAGCUGCAGCUACAGAAGCCAUGCCCUGCAAGUAGAGAGUGUCCCCCCACCCCACUGCCCCUAGGAAAAAAGCCCCUGAAAGCAACGAAGACCCAGCACAGCCAAAAACAAAAUAAAUUAAAAAAAAAAUUUUUUUUUUAAAAGACGUCACAAAGACAUUAAGUAGAAGGAAGGGCAGGUCGGCUAGCUAGAACAGCUGACAAAAAUCCCUUUUCAUCACCUGGUCCUCUCAGGUAAAGCAGCGAAGGAGCCUGAAGGACUUCGCUAUUAUUUCUGUAGAGAUUUUUGAGAAAGCAGCGGCUCCAUUCCUAACUGGCACAUUGGAAUCCUAACGCACUAAUGGAAUUUGCCGCAUCUUUGCUGUUACUGUUCGUAGCGGAUCGAGGCGACCAUUAGAGAGGGAAUACCAAAAAUCACCAGUUCAAUACUUUGGCCACCUGAUGCGAAGAGCUGACUCAUUUGAAAAGACCCCUGAUGCUGGGAAAGAUUGAGGGCAGGAGGAGAAGGGGAUGACAGAGAAUGAGAUGGUUGGAUGGCAUCACCAACUCAAUGGACAUGAGUUUGAGUGAACUCCGGGAGUUGGUGAUGGACAGGGAGGCCUGGCGUGCUGCAGUUCAUGGGGUCGCAAAGAGUCGGACACGAAUGAGCGACUGAACUGAACUGAUACCUGAAUCAUAACACCUUGACAUCCGAAUGCACAGGUCGUAGCUUCUCUGCUGAUUGGCACAAUGCUGACCUUCUUCUCGACUUAUUUAAGCAUCUGAUAUCCUGAGCUGGCUCAAGUUCCCUCUACAUCUGCCAACAAUAUCUGAACGAAGAAUGGUAUUGACCUAAGCAUGAGGCAUGGUCAAGGAGCAGGACAUCGAGGGUUCAUGGGUCAUAUCUCCAGGGGCCAGACAGCUGGGAUCAGCCUCCCUGACCUCCUCCCACUAGAGGAGGGAGACCAUGAACGCUGAACUGGCAGUGGGAGGAACCUGGGUGUAGGGGGUGGUGGCCGCCCUGGGCAGAGAAGGGAGUGUUUUCGGGGGAGCCUUGUACCCUACUUGUUUGCUGCACUUUUCCAAACCACAAAGCCCUGCUAGGAGCUCCCCUGCCAAGGCUGAUUGCAAUCUGCCACGCUAUCUGCAUUGUCAUCAAUCGUGCAGACACGAGGUUAUUACACUCCAUAGUUACACUGACACACCUGUGAAGACUUCUGCAGCGCCCGGAGUUUCAUUUUCACUUUCCGUAUCAGAAUCAAUCACUAAGGUUUCUUGUCUUUUUGUUGGUCUCAUAUUCAUGCCGUCUGAAUCAGAACUAUACUCUGAAGAUCUGUCACCAUCUGAGACACUAGUACAUAUGUCACUGGGACCAUCGAAGAAAGUAGCUGCACAAAAUUUACCGAAAAAUUCUUCACUCAGAAUUUCUCGAUGUGUCAUUUUUUUUAAUUUUACCGUAUUACACUUGCGCUUAUACAUAGGGUUGGAACAAAAACCAAACAGAGCAAAAUGUGAAUGAUAACGACAAUCGUUAAGUUGUACAAUGAAUCUGUAAUCAAUUUUAAGCUCUAACAACUUUGCAUGGUGAUGUUCAUUGGGUCACUCGCUAAAAAUGAACUGAUACGUCUCUGGUCGAUAAUGUGUUAACAAGAGGCUAAACCAUCCACCAGUUUUCACCUUGGUUUUUCACACUGAAGGACAGAGCCCCUUGAGGAAAAGGUUUCAACCUGACUCUCCCUUUAAGCUCAAUGGCUGUGUCAUCCAGCCAGUGGCCGUCACUGUAGCUGGUACCUGGGUCCCCCCAGCCCCGAGUGCUAGGAGAGGUGGCCCUCUGCCCGGCAGAGCGAGAUGAUGAGGGGGAAACUGACAUCCAAGUUUUUUUCUGGAUUAGGAAAAGAGGAUUUUACCUUUCAGCAUCUGCCAACCUGAUAGGUUCGCCAAGAGUUUUACAUGUGCCAAGAAUUCUACAUUAAAUAAACACACACACACACACACACACACCUAUCUCAUCCCUCUCCCCUAGACAGGCAUAACCUACUCAGGACGGAAACAGCUCUUAGGAAGGAGGACGGUCCGAGUUCAUGGAACCUUUCUGGUUUCCACAGCACAAUCCGUUCUAUUUCACCAGAUGACCUGAAACACCCCCUUCACGUUCAAGUUUGGGUUCCAAAGGGAGAAAGCUGAAGCUUGACUUUGACCUACCGGAUUUGUGUUGUCUUUAUUACACACAUCAUUAUACACAUUCUGAAUGUACAGGCAUAUAAAGAAAUUCUUGGGGGCCUCCUGGGUCUGUGUGUUCUUACUGAUCUGUCAGGGGACUCUGUUCAGGAGGCAUCCUCGUCCUGUCCUUUUGCCUGCAAAGUGUAGCCAAUGGCUGAGCCUUAGAGGGCCAGAGCCAUGG